GAUGAACGCUGGCGGCGUGCCUAAUACAUGCAAGUCGAGCGAAUGGAUUAAGAGCUUGCUCUUAUGAAGUUAGCGGCGGACGGGUGAGUAACACGUGGGUAACCUGCCCAUAAGACUGGGAUAACUCCGGGAAACCGGGGCUAAUACCGGAUAACAUUUGAACCGCAUGGUUCGAAAUUGAAAGGCGGCUUCGGCUGUCACUUAUGGAUGGACCCGCGUCGCAUUAGCUAGUUGGUAAGGUAACGGCUCACCAAGGCAACGAUGCGUAGCCGACCUGAGAGGGUGAUCGGCCACACUGGGACUGAGACACGGCCCAGACUCCUACGGGAGGCAGCAGUAGGGAAUCUUCCGCAAUGGACGAAAGUCUGACGGAGCAACGCCGCGGGAGUGAUGAAGGCUUUCGGGUCGUAAAACUCUGUUGUUAGGGAAGAACAAGUGCUAGUUGAAUAAGCUGGCACCUUGACGGUACCUAACCAGAAAGCCACGGCUAACUACGUGCCAGCCGCCGCGGUAA
rnacentral:rRNA from 1 species